rnacentral:rRNA from 1 species
UACGUAGGUGGCAAGCGUUGUCCGGAUUUACUGGGCGUAAAGAGCGCGUAGGCGGCCUAUCAAGUCGCGUGUGAAAGCCCCCGGCUCAACUGGGGAGGGUCACGCGAUACUGGUCGACUCGAAGGCGGGAGAGGGUAGUGGAAUUCCCGGUGUAGUGGUGAAAUGCGUAGAUAUCGGGAGGAACACCAGUGGCGAAGGCGACUACCUGGCCUGUUAUUGACGCUGAGGCGCGAAAGCUAGGGGAGCAAACGGG